rnacentral:rRNA from 1 species
AUGAAGGCCUUAGGGUCGUAAAGCACUUUCGCCUGCGAAGAUAAUGACUGUAGCAGGUAAAGAAACCCCGGCUAACUCCGUGCCAGCUGCCUCGGGUAGACGGAGGGGGUUAGCGUUGUUCGGAAUUACUGGGCGUAAAGCGCGCGUAGGCGGGCUGGAAAGUUGGGGGUGAAAUCCCGGGGCUCAACCCCGGAACUGCCUCCAAAACUCCCAGUCUAGAGGUCGAGAGAGGUGAGUGGAAUUCCGAGUGUAGAGGUGAAAUUCGUAGAUAUUCGGAGGAACACCAGUGGCGAAGGCGGCUCACUGGCUCGAUACUGACGCUGAGGUGCGAAAGUGUGGGGAGCAAACAGGAUUAGAUACCCUGGUAGUCCACACCGUAAACAAUGAAUGCCAGUCGUCCGUGAGCUUGCUCUUCGGUGACGCAGCUAACGCUUUAAGCAUUCCGCCUGGGGAGUACGGUCGCAAGAUUAAAACUCAGAGGAAUUGACGGA